GGUUCUCUGUUGCUGUUUGAAUCAUUCACCAAGUCUAUACAGAAACAUGAGAGCCUUGGUGGGAGAGUAUUGUAUGCUACUAAAAUGGUCUGUGGCUAAGGGACAACUUUACAGCAUAAACAAAUUAUGAGGCUUCACACAGCUUAAUAAGGAUGCCAGCUUUUCCUGACAUGAAUCUGUAAACAUUUUUAUCAAACUUUUGUCAGCCACCUUCUGAAAUUCAAAUUCUCCAAGGUUGAACAUUUACUUUUCCCAUCUCUAUUUCAUAUGUUAAUUAUUCUCUUGAAAUGAGAAGCAUCAGAAAGAAAUGCUAGAGCUUCUUUUUCUUUUUUUUUCUUUUUUUUUUUUUUUGCUACAGAAGAUCUGUACUGCACAGAGAACACACUUUAGACAAUGAAAAAUGAAGAAGCAACAAGCUGUUUCUUACAAGAGCAACAGGGACGGUGUAGCAUUUCUUGAAAGAAGAGAAGCAUUGGCAAUGCAAGGGAGAAAGUUUUGUUUUGAGCAAUGGAGAUAGAUGAAUCAGGACAAGGAGAGGAAGGGAAGACAGAAGAAAAGCAAAGGAGAAUGGAGGGGUCUGAAAUGAAGGCAAUGUGAUUAGAAUUUUGAUGAAGAGGCAUUGACAAGAUGAAAGAUCUUUCUCUCUCACUCCCUCUCCCUCUCAUUUCCAGUGGGUAAAAUCUGUCCUGUUGACACACACUUGCUCUCUUUUUACAACACAACUCUGGAACAAAUGGGAUUCAUGAUCAAUGGUAGUGGCAUGGCCCCAAUGACAGAUCCCUGCCUGGGAGGAUGGCUAAGCAGCUGCCUUUCUUCCUCCUUCACUCUUCACCAAUUCAGGAAUUUUCAAACUGUUGUGAGUUCUCUUAUUUUAUGAUUCCUAUAACUAAAUAAAAAUAUGUACUGCAUGUGACAACAUAUGUACAUAUCCCAGAGUGAAAUGGAUUUGAGGAUUUUAAGCCUUCUGCCUCACAACAUGCAUCAUUAAAGCUUAUUCAUCAUGACUAAGGCUAAACCUCCAUUGGUUGAUAUAUCUCACUAAUCAAAGAAGAAAGUAUCAUUGGGAAGGAUCAACUUUCUGUUUGCCAUAUCAUAUUACCAAUUCUUCAGUAUUAUGCACAGACUAUUGUACCUCUGGGUGAAAUUUCCAUCUUUUGGGCAUAAAGUCCAUUGAAAUUGUAUUUGUAGGAUCAAGGUCUUUGUUAUGAGUAUUGCAGAUGAAAGUGUACAUUCUUCCUCUGAAAUACUGUCCUCAGAGGUUCAGUGUGGGACUUCACUAUGCGUAUAAUAUGGGCUUAGAAUAGACUACUCAAAUGCUUACAUAGUUCAAUGCAUGUUAAAAUACCUGAACCAGUUACUUCAACAAAAUCUGGCAUUACAAGUAUGCAGGAACAUUUUACAAGUGUUAAAGGUUGUUAAAGCCUGUAUCUGAGACAAACAGUGCUUCCUGAACAGUCCUACACUCGUAUUUAUUUUGUUCUUCAGUAAAGAGCUCAGGUGAAAUUCUGACCUCAACAAAAUCAAUAAUAAAACGUCCACUAACUACAGGAUUUCAUUUUUGAUCUUCUACUUGUGUCCAAUUUCAGUAGGAAUUUUGUCUGACUCGGAAGUCAGCAAGAAGUUAAUUAUACAAUAAUCUACCUCAUUCACAGGGGCUGCAUGGAGGGUGAGUUGAUAUUUAUGCAGUAUUUUGUAGCUAUGAAGCAAACCGUACCUUCCAAAUUUGGUUAGUGGGUUUACAUUUAGUAGGAAGUAGAAAAAACAGUUUGAUAGUGAUUUUAAAAAGGUACUUCAAAAAGUUAGACUGUCUAUAUAGUAAAUUUAAGCUAUCUAUACAGAUUCUUGAGUGAAACCAAGAGCAAUGCUGAGAGAUAAGUCUCUAUUCAUACCUGUUCUACACAUGCUCAAGCCCAAAUUAAUCAGAAUAAAUGGCUCAGAUAUGUGCUUGAGUGGUGGGCUUUGCAGCAUCAUAUCUAGGCUCUCAAGCCAUUUUUUACUACUUUUCAGACCUUGGUCUAUGGUGUGCCUGGGGGGAUCACUUGUAGCCUACACAUCAGUGUUGUGUUUGGACCAGUUUAUUCAUGAAAUAUCUAAAUCAGUUUUAAUUAAAACAUUUACUUACCUUGGAAUAAUUUUGUGUGAACGCUUCUAUUUCAAAAUAAAAGCUU